GACGAACGCUGGCGGCGUGCUUAACACAUGCCAGUCGAACGGAAAGGCCCUGCUUUUGUGGGGUGCUCGAGUGGCGAACGGGUGAGUAACACGUGAGUAACCUGCCCUUGACUUUGGGAUAACUUCAGGAAACUGGGGCUAAUACCGGAUAGGAGCUCCUGCUGCAUGGUGGGGGUUGGAAAGUUUCGGCGGUUGGGGAUGGACUCGCGGCUUAUCAGCUUGUUGGUGGGGUAGUGGCUUACCAAGGCUUUGACGGGUAGCCGGCCUGAGAGGGUGACCGGCCACAUUGGGAUGGAGAGACGGCCCGGACUCGGCCGGGGGGAGGGAGGGGGAAUUUUGGAAGAGGGGGCGGAGGCCUGAGGAAGCAACGCCGGGGGGGGGAGGGGGGCCGUGGGUUUUAAACCCGUUUCCGCUGGUGACGAGGGGGGGGUGCGGUUAAUGGGUAAAGAAGCACCGGCAAACUACGUC
rnacentral:rRNA from 1 species